rnacentral:rRNA from 1 species
GCUGGCGAGGCCGGUACUGACGCUCAGGCACGAAAGCGUGGGGAUCAAACAGGAUUAGAUACCCUGGUAGUCCACGCAGUAAACGAUGAUAACUUGUUGUCGGCGAUAGAGUGUCGGUGACAAAGCGAAAGCGAUAAGUUAUCCACCUGGGGAGUACGAUCGCAAGGUUGAAACUCAAAGGAAUUGACGGGGGCCCGCACAAGCGGAGGAGCAUGUGGUUUAAUUCGAUGAUACGCGAGGAACCUUACCUGGACUCAAAUGUUGACUGACAGGACCAGAAAUGGUCUCUUCCUUCGGGACAGUUAGCAAGGUGCUGCAUGGUUGUCGUCAGCUCGUGCCGUGAGGUGUCAGGUUAAGUCCUAUAACGAGCGCAACCCCUACGUCCGGUUGCCAGCGGGUAAAGCCGGGGACUCUGGAGGGACUGCCGGCGCAAGCCGAGAGGAAGGUGGGGAUGACGUCAAAUCAGCACGGCCCUUACGUCCAGGGCGACACACGUGCUACAAUGGCCGGUACAGAGGGCAGCCACCUGGCGACAGGGAGCGAAUCUCGAAAGCCGGUCUCAGUUCGGAUCGGAGUCUGCAACUCGACUCCGUGAAGUUGG